UAAAUAUGAAACAUUUUUUUCUAGAAUUUUAAGUUUAGAUUACAUGGUCAUAGAAUCCAUAUGCAUCAAUAAGUAUACAUCAGUAAAACUGUGUCAUUCAAGAUAUUUGAAUAUUUUUAAAUAUUAAGAGAAUUUACAUAAAGUUUUAAGAGACAAAAGGCAUGACAAUUCGCUUUAACCGAGCGAUGGGGAGAGGGAACUAUUUUAUCGUUCAUAUUACUUGAAGUUAAGCUCUUAUCGCGACAGAAGAUAGUAACGUUAUUUUCCUCUUGCGGACGUCAUAGUCAUCUAAAGAUCAAUUGAUGUCAGACGAUAGUUACUUCGUAACUUUUAACGCGUGCAUUGAUACAUCUCAGAUGUUUAUAAGAAACAGGCGUCGAUGCGGUGCCAUAAAUGCCAGCUACGACGACGAAUGUCAUGCAAACAUCAAGGGGAAAAUCCACCGGAAACAUCAGAUAUACACAGUGGCUGCAUAACCGAAGACGAAGAAAAUAACGCUUAUAUAGCGCGUUGUUCCCUCUAUUUUAUUUUUAAACAGAGGAGUAAAUGCCCUAACUAG